UACGAAGGGUGCAAACGUUGCUCGGAAUUAUUGGGCGUAAAGCGCACGUAGGCGGCUUGGCAAGUCGGAUGUGAAAUCCCUCGGCUCAACCAAGGAAGUGCAUCCGAAACUGCCGAGCUUGAGUACUUAAGAGGAUCGCGGAAUUCCCGGUGUAGAGGUGAAAUUCGUAGAUAUUAGGAAGAACACCGGUGGCGAAGGCGGCUAUCUGGCCCGUAAUUGACGCUGAGGCGCGAAAGCGUGGGGAGCAAACAGG
rnacentral:rRNA from 1 species